GACGAACGCUGGCGGCGUGCUUAACACAUGCAAGUCGAACGGAAAGGCCCUGCUUUUGUGGGGUGCUCGAGUGGCGAACGGGUGAGUAACACAUGAGUAACCUGCCCUUGACUUUGGGAUAACUUCAGGAAACUGGGGCUAAUACCGGAUAGGAGCUCCUGCUGCAUGGUGGGGGUUGGAAAGUUUCGGCGGUUGGGGAUGGACUCGCGGCUUAUCAGCUUGUUGGUAGGGUAGUGGCUUACCAAGGCUUUGACGGGUAGCCGGCCUGAGAGGGUGACCGGCCACAUUGGGACUGAGAUACGGCCCAGACUCCUACGGGAGGCAGCAGUGGGGAAUAUUGCACAAUGGGCGGAAGCCUGAUGCAGCAACGCCGCGUGCGGGAUGACGGCCUUCGGGUUGUAAACCGCUUUCGCCUGUGACGAAGCGUGAGUGACGGUAAUGGGUAAAGAAGCACCGGCUAACUACGUG
rnacentral:rRNA from 1 species